rnacentral:rRNA from 1 species
GACGAACGCUGGCGGCGUGCUUAACACAUGCAAGUCGAACGGAAAGGCCCUGCUUUUGUGGGGUGCUCGAGUGGCGAACGGGUGAGUAACACGUGAGUAACCUGCCCUUGACUUUGGGAUAACUUCAGGAAACUGGGGCUAAUACCGGUUAGGAGCUCCUGCUGCAUGGUGGGGGUUGGAAAGUUUCGGCGGUUGGGGAUGGACUCGCGGCUUAUCAGCUUGUUGGUGGGGUAGUGGCUUACCAAGGCUUUGACGGGUAGCCGGCCUGAGAGGGUGACCGGCCACAUUGGGACUGAGAUACGGCCCAGACUCCUACGGGAGGCAGCAGUGGGGAAUAGUGCACAAUGGGCGGAAGCCUGAUGCAGCAACGCCGCGUGCGGGAUGACGGCCUUCGGGUUGUAAACCGCUUUCGCCUGUGACGAAGCGUGAGUGACGGUAAUGGGUAAAGAAGCACCGGCUAACUACGUG